UCACGCCCCAGAUGGAAAUGGAAAACGGCGAGUGAAAAAACGAUAUUUUUUCCUGCAGAAAAAGAGCGACUUUAGAAGCUCCUUUUUUUGAAGUAGAAAAAAAACGUUUUGACCGAGUUUUUGAAAUGGACAGCUGGAUUGGGC
rnacentral:sRNA from 2 species